AAAUAGGUUCUUUCUCUCCUCCCCCACGAAAGUACCUCAGUGGAGACUGGGGCAUAGUUUCCAGUCCCUAGAUUUCUCUGGUCUCCACAUUGGAGGGGCACCAAGCAAACAAUUAGGAAAAAACCAGGCCAUGCAGGGAGAAGAAAAGCCCAUCCUCCUCCUCUAUCCACCCAGUCUUGGGUCUGGCUGUGCCCUGAAGCAGCAGCCCCAUCCCUACAAUCUUCAGAGACGGACAAAGCCUAGCCCUUACCAUGUACGCUUGUUAUCAAAGAAAAGGACCAGAUAGAGGUGCUCCCGUGCUUCCUGAGUCAUCUGUUCUCCCAGCUU